rnacentral:rRNA from 1 species
CCAUGCCGCGUGAGUGAUGAAGGCCCUAGGGUUGUAAAGCUCUUUCACCGGUGAAGAUAAUGACGGUAGCCGGAGAAGAAGCCCCGGCUAACUUCGUCGCCAGCAGCCAGCGGUAAUACUGAAGGGCGGCGUAGCGUUGUUCGNAAUUACUGGGCCGUAAAGCGCACGCAGGCGGACAUUUAAGUCAGGGGUGAAAUCCCGGGGCUCAACCCCGGAACUGCCUUUGAUACUGAGUGUCUUGAGUCCGAGAGAGGUGAGUGGAAUUCCGAGUGUAGAGGUGAAAUUCGUAGAUAUUCGGAGGAACACCAGUGGCGAAGGCGGCUCACUGGCUCGGUACUGACGCUGAGGUGCGAAAGUGUGGGGAGCAAACAGGAUUAGAUACCCUGGUAGUCCACACCGUAAACGAUGGAAGCUAGCCGUCGGGCAGUAUACUGCUCGGUGGCGCAGUUAACGCAUUAAGCUUCCCGCCUGGGGAGUACGG